GCCUGGGUGGCUCAGUCGGUUGAGUGUCUGACUUUGGCUCAGGUCAUGAUCUCACAGUUCGUGGGUUCGAGCACCACGUCGGGCU
rfam:Felis catus isolate Cinnamon breed Abyssinian chromosome D1, whole genome shotgun sequence.